rnacentral:rRNA from 1 species
UACGUAGGUGGCGAGCGUUGUCCGGAUUUAUUGGGCGUAAAGGGCGCGCAGGUGGUGUGGUGGGUCCGUCGUGAAAUCUCCUGGCUCAACUGGGAGGGUGCGGCGGAGACUGCCAGACUGGAGGCACUCAGAGGCCGGUGGAAUUCCCGGUGUAGUGGUGAAAUGCGUAGAGAUCGGGAGGAACACCAGUGGCGAAGGCGGCCGGCUGGGGGUGACCUGACGCUGAGGCGCGAAAGCUAGGGGAGCAAACAGG